AAAUAAAAAAGUAAACCCAACGACAACUCUCUUUCCUAUGACCCCAAGAACCCUAAAUCCCCAAAUUGUGAAAUCCUCAAACUCUUGAUUCUCUUUCUUUUUAACAUGAUUCCUCAUCGAUUCAGUCAUGUCCCCCCUCUACUCUACCAUUAAAACAUUCGAUUCACAUAGGAGAAUGAAUCCGAAACCCAGUCGACGAACCCUAAAUCCCCUUUCUGAAAUUCACAUUUCCGUCGAUCUCAAGCCUUUCAUCACUUAUUCUCGUUGAUUUCCACACUAUUAUAAGCUCAUAUCCGCUUCAAUCAGUUUAUUUCAUCAAUUCGUGCAAUCAAAGAAGCAAUCUUCUGGAAAUAUACAAUCUAUCUUUGGACCACCAAGGAAUCGUUGGACAGUAUCAUCAUAGUUUUUUUUUUUUGGAAAAGGCUGCAAGUUCCAUUGAAUACUGAUGAUGUCUCUGGUAUGGUGCGUCUUGUAAAAAUGAAUGCGUAGAGAAAUAUAGGAGGUUUUUUCAGACACUGGUGAGAUGUUCCUGCAAGGCUGAGGAAAAAAAGUUCACAUCAGCUAAAGAUUUCAAAACUCAAAAGUGUGCCUAGAAUGAGGAUCCUGGUGACUGUGGUGUUUAAGCCGUGAAGUAUAUUGAGUGUAAGGCGAUUGGUUGCGGUUUUGAGGACUUUCUGACUGGUGCAUCCCGACAACGCGUAUUAAGUUUGCUGCUGAGAUCUAUGAUGAGGUUGCGGAUAUGUAGUUGUAUUUCAUCUUUUAGAAACCAAACUUAUUUACUACUUUGUGGAAUUGUGAAAAUAUCUUUAUUUUCUUGUCCAAUGGUUAAUGUUACUUUACUUUGAAAGAGUCCUUGAAAGGGAUAUCAGAAAAGAGUAAUGCAUAGACAUUGUCUAACCACGAACAAGAGGAACAUUA